rnacentral:rRNA from 1 species
UACGAGUGGUGCAAGCGUUAUUCGGAGUGAUUGGGUGUAAAGGGUGCGCAGACGGCAUGUUAAGUCAAUCGUUAAAUUCCCUGGCCUAACUGGGGGCAAGCGGUAGAUACUGGUGUGCUAGAGGGUGGAAGAGAGGGGUGGAAUUCUCGGAGUAGCGGUAAAAUGCGUAGAUCUCGAGAGGAACACCAAUGGCGAAAGCAGCUCCUUGGUCCAUUUCUGACGUUCAGGCACGAAAGCGUGGGGAGCAAACAGG